ACACCUUUAGCUUAAUUGGUUGAGCGGUCGUAUUCGAAACGAAGGGUUAUAGGUUCGAGUCCUCUAAGGUGUA